CGAGUUGAUGAUGCCGGUGGCGAUGUAGACGUGAUUUCUAGAAACGUCUAGAGAAGGGCUGCUGCCCCACACGGCGGCACCGGCGUACUCGCCCCGCUGCCCGUUGUUGUCGGGAAGCAUGAAGGUCUGCCAUAUGGUCUUUCCGUGUUCGUGUCUAGCUUCGAGAAGCUUCCGCGGAAUGUGCAGCAGUUUUCCGGCCUGAAACUCCUCUGGAACGAGGAUGUUCCGACAUAGAAGCCUCUGCCACACGAGAGCUUAUAAGAUGUAAUGUUUCAAGAACUUAUAUGCUAUCAAAGUAUUUAAAUAAUUGAAUUUAUAAGUUAUGAAGUGAAUUGUGAGAUAGAGAAAAUAACAAAAUAUAGUUGAAUUAUUUUUUUAAAAUAAUUAUAAGAUAAUAAGAAAAUAAUUGAAAACCUUAUUUUUAGGAAAUUUACAAGUUCUCGAAGCUUAUUAUUAUAACUUAUAAGUUGUUUAUGAAUUUAUUUUAUCAAAUACUAAGCUACUUAAAAACUUAUAAGCUCGUGCAAAUACCCUCCAAAACACUCAUGCUAUUGCUAGGCUUAUUCUUAUCACUUGAGAUAUUUUCUCUGUCGCUCUAUUUAUAUAUUAUCCGUAUUAAUUCUCAGUGUUUCAUAUUUGUGUUUCACUUUAAUUUUUAAUCUUUUCUUAAAACUUUUAAUUUUUUAUGUUAUACCCCGUCUCAGCUUUUUUAGUAUCUAAUUAAGAAUAACAUGAGUUUUAAUAAAAUAGUUAUGUGUUUUGUAAGUGAAAUAAUUAAGGAUUCCGCAUUUAUGAGAGGGUUAAAGUGAUUGUAGGUGGACCUACUUUUAAUAAAAAUAAAAAUAAAUAUAAAAAUGUGGGAUGACUAAAAAAUAGAAAUAUGGAUACCAGCUAAAAGCUAGAAUGGAGUAGUUCGUUGUUUUAACUUUUAAUUAGGAUUGACAAUAUUAUAUAUUUUUUAAAUGUGCAAUUUAGUUAAAGAUGCCUUAUUUUAUGGAUCUGAAAAAAUAUNGGCACGCUUGGACUGCCGUGCGGCACCGAGUUGAUGAUGCCGGUGGCGAUGUAGACGUGGUUCUAGAACGUCUAGAGAAGGGCUGCUGCCCACACGGCGGCGCCGGCGUACUCGCCCCGCUGCCCGUUGUUGUCGGGAAGCAUGAAGGUCUGCCAUAUGAUCUUUCCCGUGUUCGUGUCUAGCUUCGAGAAGCUUCCGCGGAAUGUGCAGCAGUUUUCCGGCCUGAAACUCCUCUGGAACGAGGAUGUUCCGACGUAGAAGCCUCUGC
rnacentral:lncRNA from 1 species